AUUCAGGCUGUUCCUAGCUCCCAGGGACCCCGUGGCGGGGAAGGUGGCGGGAAACCUGCUGCCAGGAGCGUAGCCUCUACGUCCAGCGGUAUAAGCUCCGUGUCCCUGCUCUCGAGUUGGGGUGUACCCUUGCCCCGAGUGGGGUCACAUCAUCACCUCCUCGUGUCGUGGCCUCCGUAUCGGGGACACUGUGGCUGCCCCAAGGCAGACCCCGAGCACUGGGGCUCCGGCUGCGGUUCCCCAGUCCCGCGUCCCUGCCCCGCAUCCGGCGUCCUAACUCGCAGAUGCACGGGGGAGACUCAGGGUACCCUUGGUGGAGGGGGGCACGCUGGCCCAUCAGCCAUCCAGUCGGUGAAGGAGGCGAUCCCGGCCCCAAGAGGCCAGUGGGGUGAGACCCCGGCCGGGUGGGCAGGGCAGCCCCACCUUCCCGGAUCCGCGGCACCUGACGGAUCCCUUGCUGCGGAGGAGCGUGUCCGUCCUCCCUUCCCCGCCCCUACUCUGGGCCGCCCCGGGCGUCUCGGGGUGGACGCCUGUCCGUCUUCAUCCCGGGACCGCUGCCCCCGUGGCCGGAAGAAACUGUUCCCUCCAGAGCGCCCUUGGGAGGUGCUGCGAUGCCUCCGAGGCUCAUCCGCGGCCUCACCCCGCCACCCACCCUGGGGCCCGGGCACCUGGCGGCCCCGGAGCGCGUGGCCUCGAGGAAGCACUCAGGGGUGGAGCCCCUCCGCCCCGCGCUCCGCAGCCAGCACCUGCCCGUGGGCCGCCCUGGCCUGCGGGAGGCCUCAGCUCCGUCCUCCGGUUUGCAAAAGCAUCACCUCGAAGGGCUUUGUAGGCAGCACGAGAGGGUCGCCUCCCAGCAGGACCCUGCUCCCGGCACCACAGCUCAGGGACGGUUUUGCCCGCUGUGACCAUCCUCCCAAGAGCUGCGAGAACGUGACUGUGCCUGCCCCUCAGGCCGGGGCCCGUGCCCGCGGCGAUGCCCCACCCGCGAACGGGCCACCCCCCGCACCGGGAACCCUAAGGGUGAGGUUCUGA
rnacentral:lncRNA from 1 species